rnacentral:lncRNA from 1 species
GCAGAAUCACUUGAGCUUUGCCAUGCCAUUUGUCAAGUUUAUUUGACAUUUGUCAAGUCAAACACAUGCAUCGUGACAACAAGCAUUUGUCUUCUAGAAGAAUAAGAUAUUUGUCUUUGAAAUUUGGCACUUGUCUUUAAAAUAUUGCCACAGUCUCCCAUUAUUUUAAAGACACAAAAGUAAACUUGCUGGAUUUUUAUGGUCCAAAUGUAAUAGGUUUG